rnacentral:sRNA from 1 species
UGAAUCAUUUACGCAAUAGAUUUUCUGUAAUUGUGAAUCAUUUACUCAAUAGAUUUUCUGUAAUUGUGAAUCAUUUACUCAGUAGAUUUUCUGUAAUUGUGAGUCAUAUGUGUGUGCUAUUCUGUAUGGAUACCAGAAAUCAGAACGAGUUUUUUGAAAUCUAAAAGAGUUUUUAUGGAUGCUGAUUUCUGAGUGAAAUAUUCUGUAUGGGUGCUAUAUGUCAGGAUCGGGUAGUAUGAGUUUUCUGUGACAUGAUGUAGUGUAUUUAGGUCAAUGACAGACCAACGUUUAUUGUUACCAGUGGGAACCUUGAACUGAUGUGUUCUGUUAUAUUGUCAUAUGUGUUAGUUUUAGUCUGAAGAGAGAGGGAGAGAGAGAGAGAGAGAGAGAGAGAGAGAGAGAGAGAGAGAGAGAGAGAGAGAGGCCAGUAAUUAAUAUGAAUCAUUUGUUGACCAAUAUCAGAAACACUUGACCAAUAUGUUCUCGUUUUUUUACCUCUAGUCUUGUUAUUAAGGAUGUAAGGGUCUUUGUUUUUUAAUGGUGUUUUGAUAUUUAUAAUUACAUGGUUAAAAGAUGUUUAUAUAUUUGUACAUAUUUAAAAAUUAUAUAUUUUAUGCAGUUAUUGACUAAAAAUUGUAACCUUGUUGCCAAUAAAUGUUUUAAAUUU